UUGACCUCGGAUCAGGUAGGGAUACCCGCUGAACUUAAGCAUAUCAAUAAGCGGAGGAAAAGAAACCAACAGGGAUUACCUCAGUAACGGCGAGUGAAGCGGCAUGAG
rnacentral:rRNA from 1 species